AGUGAACGCUGGCGGUAGGCCUAACACAUGCAAGUCGAACGGCAGCACAGUAAGAGCUUGCUCUUACGGGUGGCGAGUGGCGGACGGGUGAGGAAUUCAUCGGAAUCUACUUUUUCGUGGGGGGUAACGUAGGGAAACUUACGCUAAUACCGCAUACCACCUACGGGUGAAAGCAGGGGAUCUUCGGACCUUGCGCGAUUGAAUGAGCCGAUGUGGGAUUAGCUAGUUGGCGGGGUAAAGGCCCACCAAGGCGACGAUCCGUAGCGGGUCUGAGAGGAGGAUCAGCCACACUGGAACUGAGACACGGUCCAGACUCCUACGGGAGGCAGAAGUGGGGAAUAUUGGACAAUGGGCGCAAGCCUGAUCCAGCCAUACCGCGUGGGUGAGGAAGGCCUUCGGGUUGUAAAGCCCUUUUGUUGGGAAAGAAAAGCAGCAGGUUAAUACCCCGCUGUUCUGACGGUACCCAAAGAAUAAGCACCGGCUAACUUCGUG
rnacentral:rRNA from 1 species